rnacentral:rRNA from 1 species
UGUUGCUUGCAAGGGCGUGUGGUGGAUGCCUUGGCAGACAGGACCGAUGAAGGACGUUGCAGGCCGCGAUAGGCCUCGGGGAGCCGCCAAGCGGGCUUUGAUCCGAGGAUUUCCGAAUGGGGGAACCCGCCAGCCGUCAUGGGUUGGCACCGCCUUCGGGCGGGGGGUACGCAGGGAAGUGAAACAUCUCAGUACCUGCAGGAAAGGAUAUUCCGUGAGUAGUGGCGAGCGAAAGCGGAUGAUGGCCAAACCUCAUGCGUGCGAUACCCGUCGGGGGUUGCGUGUGGGGUGUUGUGGGAGCAUGCGUGCCGGCGCCGACGCGUCGGCCGGCAGUUAUAAAGCCGUGUGUCAGGGGAACCGGAUUGGAUGCCGGGCCGUAGAGGGUGAUGG